AGCUUUGGUAACCUAGCUUUAUGAAGAAAACGUUGAAUCGUCAAUCAUUAAAACUGAAUCACCAAAGUU
rnacentral:pre_miRNA from 13 species